UACGUAGGUGGCAAGCGUUGUCCGGAUUUACUGGGCGUAAAGAGCGCGCAGGCGGUCGGCCAAGUCGAGUGUGAAAGCCCCCGGCUCAACUGGGGAGGGUCAUUCGAUACUGGUCGACUCGAAGGCAGGAGAGGGGAAGCGGAAUUCCCGGUGUAGUGGUGAAAUGCGUAGAUAUCGGGAGGAACACCAGUGGCGAAGGGCGGCU
rnacentral:rRNA from 1 species